UGACAACUUCAAUAAACCUGCUGUUUGCAAGAAACCCCUUAACAACUAUUUGUGAAGGAGCAUGGGCCUCGUGGUUCAGACGUUGGGCAUACAACCAUUAGAUUGAGGGUUUGAUUCGUUGUACAGGCGACACAUUGUGCCCUUGAAUAAAGCACUUCAUUUCACAUUGCCCCAGUCCCCUCAGAUGUAAAUAGGGACCAACCUAGUACUGCUGCUUCUCUCUCUGGCUGUCACAUCCUUGGUGUUCCUCUAUUGGGCAAAGGGCAGGAGAGCUGAGAGGGGAUCUGCAUCUGCUCCCGACUACAUAGGGGCCGAAAACAAUUAGUAUAAACAUGGUACAUAUUACCAGUUCAUACUCAUUUGCAAGAAAUCGUGGGGAACUAAAGCCCCACCUCCUCACCCCUUUUUUUUUAAAAAACAGUAUUUUCCUUCUCAAUUCUCCUUCACCCAGGAUGGGAAAUGAUAACAAAUGGUGUAUUUCACUCUGUCCAAUCAGCCCCAGAAGUAAAUUCACUGAUUCAAUGUGUACUUGUGUAAUCCUACAUGGAUUAGCAUAAUCCUACAUGGAUUAGUGUAAUCCUGCAUGGAUUAAUGCAAGCUUAUGCAGACUUGAGUAAUCCUAGAUGGAUUUGUGUAAUCUUACACGGAUUUUGCAUACCGUAAGGCAGCAAGCAGGCCAAAUCCUAAGUGUGUCUGAUGAAAUGCCAAAUGGCUUUCAGCUCUUAUAUCGGUCUGAGAGUGACUUUGCCUUCCGUCCUUUCGAGGUUAGUCAGAUAAAGUACCAGUUGUGUACUGGGGUUAAUGUGAUCAGCCCCCCCCCCCCACCUACUUGGGAUGCUAAAGGAACAAGUGUGGCAGUGGGGAUUUUCUGUUGUUUCAUGAAGAUUCAGUUGUUUGGUUUACCUGAAUUACCUGACCCUGAAUUAAUAUGUACGUGGGUGAGUAUCCCUCAGCAGUCGUAGGUAAACUGUGAGCCACGUGACUUUCUGAAUGGCAAACUCACGAAAUCACUUUGGAUUUUGCUUUAGUUGUGCAACUUGCCCUGGUAUUGAACCAGGUCCCAUGCCAUCUGCUUCUCCAAAAAAAAAAAAAACAAAGUUGCUUAUUGCCUGCCUUAG